GAGCGGCAGCGGGACCUUCGGGUUGCCGGCGAGCGGCGGACGGGUGAGUAAUGCCUAGGAAUCUGCCUGUUAGUGGGGGAUAACGCGGGGAAACUCGCGCUAAUACCGCAUACGUCCUACGGGAGAAAGUGGGGGACCUUCGGGCCUCACGCUAACAGAUGAGCCUAGGUCGGAUUAGCUAGUUGGUGGGGUAACGGCCCACCAAGGCGACGAUCCGUAACUGGUCUGAGAGGAUGAUCAGUCACACUGGAACUGAGACACGGUCCAGACUCCUACGGGAGGCAGCAGUGGGGAAUAUUGGACAAUGGGCGAAAGCCUGAUCCAGCCAUGCCGCGUGUGUGAAGAAGGUCUUCGGAUUGUAAAGCACUUUAAGCCGGGAGGAAGGGCUGUAGGCGAAUACCCUGCAGUCUUGACGUUACCGGCAGAAUAAGCACCGGCUAACUUCGUGCCAGCAGCCGCGGUAAUAC
rnacentral:rRNA from 1 species